AAAGAUUCUGGGUGUGGGGGGGAGCUUUGGCAAAAUAAACAACAGACCACGCACUCCGUGACUCACAUCAGCGCGUGGGAUCCUUACGAGGCGACUGAGCACAUCCAGCGAGUCCGCAGGUUCAAACGGCAGCUCUCAUGUGCACAGGAGCAGCAGAAAGACACAGACGGACAAAGGUGAUUCUGUAUCGGCAUCACUGGGCGUUGGGAAACACUGCUUGACUGAGCUACGUAAUCUUCUGUAUUUCAUUCUCUAACAUCCCAACGCUUAUCACUGGCAGCAAACACUGUCGGCUGUUCUCCUUCAAGUGACAGCUCACUUCGUCCGUCUUCCAGAAAACACCACGUACCCGAGGUUCGUCUGUGGGUCCUUCAGGGAAGUGAUGCCACGAAAAGCAGCUGGGCUGCCCAGACCCCACAACUCCAUGGUGCCCUCCUACCCACUUCCCCUUUCAUCGCACAGAACGUAAAGAUGGGCAUUCGGUGGCUGAAAUCAAACAGCAUCAGUGAGUGUUGCUGUCUCUGUUGUCAUGCAGCAGCCUACCCGUCUGUCCCCUUGUACCUACCCCUAAAGAAAGGAGAGUCUGUGAGACUGAUCCUUUCAGGUACUUUGCUUCACCUUUGUGCUUGCACCUUAUGUCUCCCUGUUUGGCCCCAAAGGAUGGCUGGUUAGUCAAUGACGGGUAAGAUUCCUCAAGAGAGGAACAACCUAAGCCAGGCACAGUCACAUAGGGGCCAUCGGGAGAACUCACAGGGUUGACAGAGGUGGCACACACCCCCACCUUCGCCCGGCUAAGGAGAGCUUCUGUCUCUGUGGCUAUAUUCCUUCGCAAGACCUGUUUGGGAAGGGAUUCAAUGAGAUGAUAACAUCCGUUCUCCAUCUAUUCUUAUCAGUAAGUUUCAGCCUAAAGGAUUUGUCCCUGGGGAGGCACACACCACCAUUAUUGAGACAUCCUGGGACUUUCGGUUCCGGCU